rnacentral:rRNA from 1 species
UACGUAGGAGGCGAGCGUUGUCCGGAGUUACUGGGCGUAAAGGGUGCGCAGGUGGCCGUGCGCGUGGGGAGUGAAAUCGCCUGGCUUAACUGGGCGGGGGCUUUCCAGACGGCGCGGCUUGAGCCACAGAGGGGGGCGUGGAAUUCCUGGUGUAGCGGUGAAAUGCGCAGAUAUCAGGAGGAACACCGGUGGCGAAGGCGGGUCUCUGGGCCGAUAUUGACGCUGAGGAGCGAAAGCGUGGGGAGCGAACAGG